CCUGAAAUCUCAGUUUCAUAGAGAGCAAUUGUGGG
rnacentral:sRNA from 1 species